rnacentral:lncRNA from 1 species
CACCUCCACAUUUUCUCUGUACUCCCCAGCUUUAAUCCUUAUAAUGUACCUCCGACUACUCCCCUCCGGUGCAGCCGCCACCGCCGCGGCCACAGUCAGGUAGUUACCGCUUCCAUCAGCCGCCACGGUAACAUCAGGUACCACCGUUGUUGCCUGCAGCAGCCUCCUGUCCCCAGCUGAUAACCACUCGGGCCAUUUCGUUUCAUCAUCAAGACGCCGGGCUUUAGAGUAAUGAUC